rnacentral:tRNA from 3 species
GCGGGAUUAGUUUAGUGGCAAAACGCGUGCUUCCCAAGCAUGAGAUACGAGUUCGAUUCUCGUAUCCCGCA